CUUUGGUACACUCACAAUUUAAAACAGAACAUCUGGAUGAUCCCUGCCUAGUUACGUGACUGGUGACAUCACAUGAGAAUCUAGUCCCAUGUUUGCACUUUGCUAUGUAUCCUGGAUCCCCACCCUGUUGGCUGUUGCAUAUUGGAAAACAUGAGACAGUGGCCUCCAUCUUUCGACAUGAGGGAUGAGAAAAUUGCAUCAGGCCAAUACAGGAAAGAAAAGACACAACUCUGUACAUGUGAUGUUAAAACAAUGAAUGGCAUUUUAAUGAAGUGUGCCAUGGUAAUGAAAUUUGUCUUUUGUCUGAUGUAAAAUCUGGUUUUUGACUACCACUUCAUACCUUCCGACAACGGACGACGAAAAUCGUCAGACAAGCAAUUCGCCCAGUUUUCUCAGUGGCCCUCCCUCGGCCAAAUGACAGAAUGGUUUAACUGGGGUGUAACUAACCCGCGAUCCUAAUGAGGGACAAGCACUUUAGGAAACGGAUGGAUGGAUCGGCUUAUCCUCCCAUCUUUAUUUUACCUGCGCUGUAGCAUCGUCCUGACAAACUCUUAAGUGCUUUAUUUUAGAUGGCACUUGGGUAGCGAAGCGAUCUGUGACUAUCGAUUUCCCCCAGCUGAACUGUCAAACAUCUGUCGAAUUCCGACACGGUGGACUCACGGUCUCCCGGGCCGGUCUGGGCAACCAGACACACGCCCACACACCAUCCCAGCACCUCCGGGUGUCGUGAACACGACCACCCCUGAACACAUCAAUAGCUGACAACCUGAUAAGCCGAAGAAACAAGAAUCAGGUGGGCUAAUUUUCCACGUUCUGAGGUCCAGCAUACAGUCUACAUUCACUCCUCUUCUCGCCUGGUUUAACAAGAUCUAUUCCUGUGACUGUCCCAGCAGUCACGUCGUCUGCAGUGCACCCUCAUGGUCAUUUAACAGCAGGGUAAUGGUGUGUAUGGUGCUGCUUGACUGCUCCUCAGCGCUAGUCGCCCCGGAGGAGGGUGUUAGAGAACAUGGGAGAGGAGUGGGGGUGGGGUGGAGGGGGUGCUCCCUGAUCACAUGGGGAAAGACCACUUUGUAAGAGAGCGAGGAUAGAAUGAGGUGACAAAAGACCUUUUGUGGAUGCAAGUUUACAGCAUUAACCGCUCUCUCGCCUAGCAUCACAUGAAGAACAAGAAACUACUGUGACAACUUAGCAGUAGCCUGAGGCAGCGUGUUUGAUUAUGCGAGGGGUGUGUGUGUGUGUGUGUGUGUGUGUGUGCGUGUGUGCGUGUCAGGGGGUGUCCAGGAUGUUUGCCCCAGGGAGUCUUGUGACUGAGCUGACAUUCCGAGAAAUGGGGAGUGUGGUCAGCUGUUGUCAAAAUGCCACAAAGGCGCCAAUUUGCUCCGAAUUCGAAAAGCUCUCCCUGCACUUUUUUUUUUUUUUGUACGUGUCAGAAUUAAGAGAAACCAAGGUGGGUUGUCAACAUGCAUCCGAGCCUCGGCUUCAUUUGAGGGGAAAUGAAGGAUGACAUUUAGAAUUGGAAAAAAACAGCAUGGAUUAAAAGGCCCAUCAGAGACAUUUCUCUGCAUCCGCUGCUGAGAAUUAGAGUGUGUGUACCCUAUGCGUGUGUAUGCGGUGCCUGCCUUGUUGCCUAUGGCCUGUUCCCCCCCCCCCCCUACCCCACCCCCAUGAGACAUAUGUCAGCCAAAGUCACAGCAUCAACACCUGACCUUUAAUACCAAAGCAAGUGGAAAAUGCGUGAGCGGCAAUCUUUAUUAAUGUUUCUCCAUCUCCUUGUGUUAUUUACCAUUGAUGAGUGUUUGUAUUUUAUUAAUCGGCACUUGUUUUUUUUUUCUUUGUAAAGAUCCUUUCAUCCCGACGCAUUUGCCAAUCCCUCUCUCUUCUGUGUUCUCUCCGUCUUUACUCGUCGUCGUCUCGCUCUGACAUUUUGUGACACUCCCUCCCAGGGGCAGCCAUCACUUCGGAUGAGCAUCGCGCGUGACAGGCCAGCUUUGUCUUUUUAAGCCAUUAGCACUUCCUCUCCUCCCACCUUGCCAUCAUCCAACGCCGCCCGUUUAUAUUUGAUGCCCUCAUUUUUGUUUCUUCUGACCUGAUGUUAUUUGGACGCAACUUAAGGUGGAACACAAUCCUGUUGGCCUCGUUUAAAAAAAAUAUUCUUUAGGGCGUAAUAAAAUAGAAUUAAGCCACACCAGGUUGGAAUUUACAGCCAUGUGAUGUGUAUCACUUUUAAUUAUCUUUUUAUUAAAUGAAAAUGUGUUCGGGGAGGAGGGGAUUUUUAAAAAUUUGAAUCUUUCGACCUUCUGUACUAUAUUCCAACUCUGAAUGUUUGCGCAUCUUGAGAGCCGCGUUUUCCUCCAAAUUUCUGCCCUCAUUCCAAAUUGCACAACCUCAGGUGCGUUCAACUUUCAGGUUAAACUCUAAUCCACCUUCAGACCACAGGCUACGUGACGGCACAGUUGACAUUGCUGAUGGCGACAUUCAGCCUCCCGUUUGACUUUAUUGAUAGCCACAUCGAAUGCGGUUUACGAACAGGUAAGCAAGAUUUAAUGAGAUUUUCCAGUUGGAGAGUUAUUUGGCAGUGCUAGCUCCCUCCUUCUCAGACCCCUGUAAUUCUCCUUGCUUUACACUCCCCCACAGUAAACUGUCAGGCCUAAUACAGGAAGGAAUGUCCAGUCACCUGCUCCUAAAAUGCAACAGCCUUGUGCUACACUAACCUAAUAUAGACCUGCGCCACACCAGCAGGUUGGAUAACGCUAUUAUUGCUCAUUGCGUAUAUUUAAACACACACCACAUUGCAACCGCGUUCUAGGGCCUCAUGUAGCACUGUGGAAUUGAAAAUCACAAUGGACAAAUGCAAAACGACUUGAAGUAUUAUUUGUUCAAGCUGCAA